rnacentral:rRNA from 1 species
CGCGUAGGCUGUUUCGUAAGUCAGAUGUGAAAGCCCGGGGCUCAACCCCGGAAGUGCAUUUGAAACUAUGAGACUUGAGUAUGGGAGAGGGAAGUGGAAUUCCUGGUGUAGAGGUGAAAUUCGUAGAUAUCAGGAGGAACACCGGUGGCGAAGGCGGCUUCCUGGACCAAUACUGACGCUGAGGCGCGAAGGCGUGGGGAGCAAACA